CACCUCUCAAGGUCACACCUGGAGAGUUUCCAGUACUCUACCAGUCUCGGCCUCAGGAGGGAGAAUCAGGCAGAGACCUACCCAUUCCAUUCCUAGCUUGGGCAGUGGCUAGCAAGUGGAAGGCAAUCUGCUACAAGU
rnacentral:snoRNA from 1 species